rnacentral:rRNA from 1 species
CCCUUAGAUGUCCUGGGCCGCACGCGUGCUACACUGACGCCUACAGCGAGUACUUCCCAGCCCCGAGAGGUGGCUGGUAAUCAGCAAUAGGCGUCGUGAUGGGGAUAGAUCUUUGGAAUUAUGGAUCUUGAACGAGGAAUGCCUAGUAAGCGCAGGUCAUUAGCCUGCGUUGAUUAAGUCCCUGCCCUUUGUACACACCGCCCGUCGCUCCUACCGAUUUCGAGUGGUCCGGUGAAUCUUUCGGACUGCGCGCGGCUUCGCGCCGUGUCGCGGAAAGUCAGGUAAACCUUAUCACUUAGAGGAAGGAGAAGUCGUAACA